UCGGAUGUGGUGCAUGGUGCACGCCCGCUGUCCUUGAUCGUGUUCUGUUAUUGCAUAAUUUGACGCGGGAGCCCUGGGUUCAACUCCCAGCGUCCGAA